rnacentral:rRNA from 1 species
AGUGAACGCUGGCGGUAGGCCUAACACAUGCAAGUCGAACGGCAGCACAGUAAGAGCUUGCUCUUACGGGUGGCGAGUGGCGGACGGGUGAGGAAUACAUCGGAAUCUACUUUUUCGUGGGGGAUAACGUAGGGAAACUUACGCUAAUACCGCAUACGACCUACGGGUGAAAGCAGGGGAUCUUCGGACCUUGCGCGAUUGAAUGAGCCGAUGCCGGAUUAGCUAGUUGGCGGGGUAAAGGCACACCAAGGCGACGAUCCGUAGCUGGUCUGAGAGGAUGAUCAGCCACACUGGAACUGAGACACGGUCCAGACUCCUACGGGAGGCAGCAGUGGGGAAUCUUCGACAAUGGGCGCAAGCCUGAUCCAGCCAUACCGCGUGGGUGAUGAAGGCCUUCGGGUCGUAAAGCUCUUUUGUUGGGAAAGAAAAGCAGCAUGUGAAUACCCCGCUGUUCUGACGGUACCCAAAGAAUAAGCACCGGCUAACUUCGUG